AAGGUGCUGGAGGAGGAGAUCGUCUUUCCGCUGUCAUUCGAACAACUGGAGCGUGGGAAUGAGGUCAUGCAAACUAUCACCCUGAGCAACAUCAGCAACAUGGAGAAAAUGCAAUUGAACAGUUUCC